UGCACAGAAAUGAAAGCUAUUUAGCUCACAGCAUCAAAACUUUACUUCCUGUCUGUUCGUUUCUCGCACUCUUGCUCAGUAUAAGAGGCUGUGUAGAGUUGAGAACGGAUGAAUUAUCUGCUGACGACGGGAUUUAAGAAACUCUGGAUUAUUCUACAUCUCUUCUUCUCACAGAUUCAAAAGAAGAGGAGAAAGAAAAUCAGCAGAAAACAAGAAGACUGAGAGAAACAUGGAGGACAGAAAUGACACACAAACCAGUGAAUCACGAGAGGAAAGACGACCGACACUUGUCAGAUCAAACAGUUUCCAGCCAAGAAAGCCAGACUUGUCCUGUGAUCCAGACGGGCCUGUAAAGAGUGAGGAAACUGAGGAGAGAUUCUCAUCAAACACUUCAUCAUGUUCUCAAGAACAGACAACAUCAUCAUCAAUGACAUCUUCAUCA